UACGGGGGAUGCAAGCGUUAUCCGGAUUUAUUGGGUUUAAAGGGUGCGUAGGCUGUGAGGUAAGUCAGCGGUAAAAUUGCGGGGCUCAACCUCGUCGAGCCGUUGAAACUGGGUGCCUUGAGUGGGCGAGAAGUACGCGGAAUGCGUGGUGUAGCGGUGAAAUGCAUAGAUAUCACGCAGAACUCCGAUUGCGAAGGCAGCGUACCGGCGCCCAACUGACGCUGAAGCACGAAGGCGUGGGUAUCGAACAGG
rnacentral:rRNA from 1 species